UGAAUCCAGAGGACAUAGAAAAAAAAAAUGAAACGAAAGAAUCCGAAGUCCCACGUCUAAAAGUGGACACAUCAGCACUCUCAACUCAGUGGGUAACCAGAGGUUUAGUCAGCUAUGACUGCCCACUAGGUCUCUUGACUUGGGCUGGAUCUUGUAAAAAUUUGAUGGGCCUCAACGUGGGUUGUCUCAAAGCUUUCACACAACGAUACUUGAGAAAAUAAAAGGUUAGGAUUAGAUGCAACAUGCAUGUUUGUAACUCAAGUGAUUGAUCUAAGUUCUAUGUUAUUUUUUUAUGAAACAUGGUGUGGCUAGCUAGAGUAAUGUACAAACAUUGUUCUCGUUAUAUUUUCAAUAAUAUCUCCAAGUUAGCACGUGUGUUAUAACGGAUAAAAUCGUAAUAAGAGAACAGUCAAAAUCAUAAUAGGAGAUGGAAUUUAAGAAUGUUUUUAAGGAGACAAUAAUACCAUAUCUACUUGAACAAGGUUGAAUUGAAUUCCAGAUUUCCAAUUGAGGAGUGAAGAGGAGGUGGUACCUAGUGACCCUGUCAAUGGGUGUAAAAGUUGGGAAAUUGACCAUCUCCGGAUUUCUUUCACCGACUUCACUAAAUCAAUAAAUU
rnacentral:lncRNA from 1 species